GCUUAUAUGAUCUAUUGUUUGUAUAGCAGUGUGUUGGGCAUCUCACACAAUCCUACCAAGGUCUGGAGUGUAAGUUUACUUCUAGCUCUUGUCUGAACCAUGAAGAGUGAAGAAACAGAAGAUAUUUUAUAAGAUGUUCCUACCAUUUCUACUGAAUUUUACGAUUUCAGUACCUCUGGAAGAUUCAGGCAAAAAAAACCCUAAAAUCGUGGACAAAAUUGAAGGUAAAGGUAUAAUUUCCUGCUUAUU
rnacentral:lncRNA from 1 species